CAGGGUAAGUUGAGCAUAGGGACAGGGUGAGUUGAGCAUAGGGACAGGGUAAGUUGAGCAUAGAGACAGGGUAAGUAGAGCAUAGGGACAGGGUAGGUUGAGCAUAGGGACAGGGUAAGUAGAGCAUAGGGACAGGGUAAGUAGAGCAUAGGGACAGGGUAAGUAGAGCAUAGGGACAGGGUAAGUAGAGCAUAGGGACAGGGUAAGGAGCAUAGGGACAGGGUAAAGAGAGCAUAGGGACAGGGUAAGUAGAGCAUAGGGACAGGGUAAGUAGAGCAUAGGGACAGGGUAAGGAGAGCAUAGGGACAGGGUAAGGAGAGCAUAGGGACAGGGUAAAGAGAGCAUAGGGACAGGGUAGGUUGAGCCAACUUGGGGUAAGUGGGUGAUUGUGUCCUGUGACAGUGGGGGCUGGUGCAUGUUCUCAGAGCGUAAGACAUUAAUGUUCUAGACACAUUUCAUGGGAAUGUUGCAAGAACAUUCAUGUGUCCAGGUUCCUAAGGGUUAGGAGAAUGUUCCGCCCGUCCAAACAUACUGUAUACAGAAGAUGGUUGCCAUGUUCUCAGAACAUAAGAUAGUAAUGUUCUAGUAACGUUUCAUGGGAACAUUGCAAAAACAGUGUGUAAAAAAAAAAAUCCAUUACACAUCCUGUUGCUGAGCCAAUCAAGGCCCUGAUCAGUGAACCACUGAGAGCUCUUUGUCUGUUGGCAGAGUUGGGUAUACUCUCACACACAGUGAAUAAUUGAACUUGCAAAGUGUAAUCAUGUGUGUCAAAUAUGUAAGUUAUAAGCACUAACUCUUAUUCAACAUGUCCUCACCUGGGAUUUGAACUCACAACCUCUUGGUCUACAGUACUCCAAUCUUCCUGCUCUCAAUAGUUAGAUGAAUGGAUAUCAGGCAGGGACAUGGUGGCCAUGUCCGUGUCAGAUAUCCAUUAAUCUGAAGAUUGUGUCAUCAUUGAUUUGAUUGACUUAUUUCACAGCAAUUUAAGGACUUUGUGUAUAGGUGUCUAAUGUUGGUGGGGCAUAUAAACCUGUUUUACUGAUACUCCUGAAUCACUAUUAUCAAUAAAAUACUUUUAACAGAGCUGGAAUUUAGUUUGAAAGUGCAUUCACCCUACUACUUACACCCAUCAAGUUGUUUCAGAUCUACACAAGUGUGUAGGGAAGAGAGGUUAGGGUUUCUUCUGGACAGGACCUAACUGUACUAGACUAUAGACUAGACUAUAGACUAACUAUACAUGCCCUAGAGAUAACCCUUAUUGGGAAAGUGGUUAGGGUGUUUGUCAUUAAUGAUGCUGGCCUGGGCUUGAGACCUGCUAAGGGAGUCAUCCUACGCUCACGUUCUCAGCACUAUAUGUUAAUGACAGUUACAACACACUUAUCUGUUCUAAUUCAAAUGAGUUUGAAAGAUGGGAAUCUGUAGGAUUACCUUUGAGCACUAAAUGAUGACCAUAUUUCCACUACCUCUCAUAUGUUAUCAGUAUUUAUUCAUUCUAUACAGCUACCUAGAUUAAAUAAAGGUUCAAUGAAAUCAAUUGUUUUCUUGAAAUCCACACCGUUCAAAAAUUGGAUUUAGCAGCUGCAGAUUGCAGAUUAACAUAUUGUGAUGUCUGCUUUGUCCCAAGUGAUUCUGUUGCAAUCUGUCUGUUUUUCCACAUUAAAACUUGGAGAUGGAA
ensembl:lncRNA